CGCAACAGAGAGACAGAGAAGGGAAACCAGAGACGAGAGGGAAAGUGAGACAGAGACAGACAGAGCCUCAGAGAGGCAGGAAGUGAGCCCGAAGGGAAGGUGACAGGUUGAUAGAGAAAAGCAGGCAGACAGAGCAGAGGAACUCAUGCCUCAGGAUGCAAAAGCCACAUGGACAGGGCGUGGAGCAAGGAGCCGAGCCCUGCAAGGUCAGCGCUUCCAGAGCCAGAACUGAGCCCAGUGAGAGCGCACCCUGGGGCAGCCUGGAUUCCUGGGGUGUCCCCGGCAGCCACACACAGCCAUGCACUACCCAACUGCACUCCUCUUCCUCAUCCUGGCCAAUGGGGCCCAGGCCUUUCGCAUCUGCGCCUUCAAUGCCCAGCGGCUGACGCUGGCCAAGGUGGCCAGGGAGCAGGUGAUGGACACCUUAGUUCGGAUACUGGCUCGCUGUGACAUCAUGGUGCUGCAGGAGGUGGUGGACUCUUCUGGCAGCGCCAUCCCC
rnacentral:lncRNA from 1 species